AAUGAUGAAUGGCCCUCAAUUGAGCCUCCUCAAGCUGUUGGUAUCUCUAGUACCGUGGAAUCACCUGCAGUCUUGGAGUUGCAUUCAAGUCCAGCUAACUUAUCAUUGGAUAGUCCUAAUCAGCAUAUACAUCAAGACAAGGUUCAGGUUGUUGAAAGUGGUUCCGUCGACAAUAUUGAUGUAAACCAUGCUGCACAUGCUUCUAU
rnacentral:misc_RNA from 1 species